GGGAAAGUGAGGUAGGCUUUGUAGAUGUGAUUGGAGUGGUGCCACAGGCGGUCUCACAUCCACUCGCCUACCUCGCCUUUCC
rfam:Caenorhabditis japonica strain DF5081 Contig17936.9, whole genome shotgun sequence.